CAGCCGCCGCGGGAAUACGGAAGGUCCAGGCGUUAUCCGGAUUUAUUGGGUUUAAAGGGAGCGUAGGCGGAUUAUUAAGUCAGUGGUGAAAGGCUGUGGCUCAACCAUAGUUCGCUUUGGAAACUGUCAAACUUGAGUGCAGAAGGGGAGAGUGGAAUUCCAUGUGUAGCGGUGAAAUGCGUAGAUAUAUGGAGGAACACCGGUGGCGGAAACGGCUCUCUGGUCUGUAACUGACGCUGAGGCUCGAAAGCGUGGGGAGCGAACAGGAUUAGAUACCCGCGUAGUCCCUGUCUCUUAUACA
rnacentral:rRNA from 1 species